CCUACGGGAGGCAGCAGUGGGGAAUAUUGCGCAAUGGGCGAAAGCCUGACGCAGCGACGCCGCGUGAGGGAUGAAGGUCUUCGGAUCGUAAACCUCUGUCAGCAGGGAAGAACGGUCACUGUGCUAAUCAGCAGUGAAUUGACGGUACCUGCAAAGGAAGCACCGGCUCACUCCGUGCCAGCAGCCGCGGUAAUACGGGGGGUGCGAGCGUUAAUCGGAAUUACUGGGCGUAAAGCGCGCGUAGGCGGUAUGUCAAGUCAAGGGUGAAAUCCCCGCGCUCAACGUGGGAACUGCCUUUGAAACUGGGAAACUGGAGGGUGUGAGAGGUGAGUGGAAUUCCAGGUGUAGGAGUGAAAUCCGUAGAUAUCUGGAGGAACAUCAGUGGCGAAGGCGACUAGCUGGAACAUAACUGACGCUGAGGAGCGAAAGCGUGGGUAGCAAACAGGAUUAGAUACCCGUGUAGUC
rnacentral:rRNA from 1 species